UUAUUGUGGGGCAGGUUGUUUCCGGUUUCCCCUGGCAUCAACCACUACAGUGAACAUAAUUGCUUAUUUGACUGUUUACUUAGGACACAUUCACAGACAUGGAACUCCUGGCCCAAAGCUAAUUCACUUGAAUUUUGAUCCACAUUUCCAAACUGACUUUCUAGAAAGUGCUUCUGUUUGUUUAGUCCAUUGGUUUUAAAUCAGAUUAUACUCCCACAAACGGGUUAAGAGAAAACUGUUCAAUGCACUUUGGGCAAAUUGCAAACUCUUGCUGUACUUGAGCAACCCCGGGGCGCGGGACCUGGAGGAUCCGGGCUGGAGGGUGAAGUCCAGGGAAGCACGGGUGGCGCGGUCGAGGGCGCUGUGUGGGUGCGGGCGUGUGAGUGUGUGUCGCUCGGGUCCACGCUCAUGCACACACUCGCACGCCCGCACUCCCGCUCUGCACCCUUGGCCACCAGGAACCUCCGUGGAGCUGCCGUGAGCUCGGAUGCAUCCAGUCCCAGCACCAAGCAAGUCGGAGAAAGGUUUUGCCACCAGGAACCUUUCGGAGUUCGGCCGGCUCGCCAGUCCCCGCCCACUUGGUCAAGCCUUUGUUCGUUCCGGACCCUGGCUCUUUAUGUAAAUAGAUAGCUGUGUGACUCGAUGGAGUGUUGCUGGAGGAUGAAAACCCAGAGGGGCUGAUGGUUAAUGUACAGGCUGUGUCUCUGUUAACGUGGGUAUGGCCCGUUUCCGGAGCUGUUUAACCUGCCAGGUGUAGUUUUGGGGCCUGAUUCACACAGCCUGUCCCCAGUGUAGCCAGAAUUUCAAGCUAUAAGUCUCUCUUUAAUUGUGUUCUUCACAUUUGGCUUCAACACAGCGGCAUCAUUUCCUAGAUGGGCCCCAUGCACAUGCUCCACACAGAGACUUCACCCAGCUCGUGCCCGCAACACGGCUGGGAAAAUGAAAGCACUUGCAAGAUGGAAUCAUCUUUGGAGGGAGGCGGCGUGUGGGCCUUUGGAGAAGAUUCCAGAAUCUCUUAAAAACUCUUUAUGGCCAAGAUGAACUCAGCCAAGUCUGGGUGAAACGCCAGAAGGUCCCCGGAAUGUCUUGUCUGAAGCUGUGGGUGCGGAGUGACCUCAGCAGGGCCGGGUGUGGUGAGUCAGGAUGGCCAAGGAGAAGGUUGCUCCCACUCCCCUGGGUGGUUUAAAAGGCACUUAGAAACGUAAGGAUUAAUGGGCGCGGACUUCCUCUCUCUGCCUUCUGCCUUCCUACCUGCCCCUCCGUCACCCCUCCUCCCCUUCCUUCCUGCUCUCUUUCGUACAUUCCAAAUGUUAAUGUUAUAGUAUAAUAAAAAAACU